rnacentral:lncRNA from 1 species
UUCACUGUUAUGGCGGUGAACCUACAAAGAAAGAUGGUAGGGUGGGCCCUUCCCAGCUGAAUUGAGAUCCUUUAACAAAGGCCCAAAUAGUAGAACUGGUCUAUUUUUAAUUUUUUUUUGUCAUACAGGGGUAUUCCAGCAUUUUUGCGGGACUAAUCCCCCCGAAGUUGUACAGAGGCUCGUCCAAGGAUGCACAGCAAGGUUCGAACGGGUGACUUACGAGAUACUAUCGCAUGUGGUCACCAGUUGAG